CCCCACCUAGCACGGCCGGGCCAAGGGCCUAGCGCCCGGGCCGCAGUGUCAGGUUCCCGGAGUGCAGGUUUGUCCUGGACCGGGGCUGAGCUAAAUUUAGGGUCUGGAACGUGGCUCUUGCCCCCACCCCCAAGCGUGCCUUGUAUCCACUUCUGUGGCUUCUUCUCCCACCGUUGUUCUCCCCCUUGUUUAUUCUUUCUUUAAUUCUUGGCUUUGAACAAAUAAUACAUUUACAAUACAUUUUCCCAUUUGAAUCUCCACCAAAUGAACCCAGUCCUCUACUGUCCCUCCAGAACUGCCAGGAAUAUUUGGUUCCACCACCAUUCCUCAUUCCCAAAGGGCACUCGGGGCGGGCAAUAGACACCACCCUCCUCAGAAACCACUCUUGUCAAAGUCACCAGUGACCUCAGUAACCUAAAGGCAAAGGCUCCUCCUCGGGCCUACCUCACCUGCCCUUUCCUCUGAUGCUUCCUCCUUGCUGACACUCUUCCCAGGCAUCUUUGUGGAUGCUGUAGUCCCUGGCUCUCCUACUUUUUUCUUGGCCUCCCUCGUGGGUUCUUCCUCCUCUUCCUGCACUUGCUCAGUUCUUGGACCUCUGUCUAUACUCACUCCUGAUCUCUUGCACUUCCUUGGCUUGAAAGACCCUCUUGCGGAUGCCACAGUACACAUCCCCACCCAGCAUCCCCUGCUGUUCCUGGUUCUCACAUCCCACUCCCAGUAGCAUGUUCUAAGGGGUAUCACACACUCACCAUAUCCACAACUGUACUUCACAUCUGCCCCUCCACCUGUUCCUUCCAGAGCCUUCCCCACACCACCCCAUGUAACAUCAACUCCAUCCCUCCAGGUGCUCAGGCCAAACUGGGAGUCCUCCCUGUGACUCCCAAGAGGAAAAAAUGCACAUGCUCCCCCCUCAGUCCCUGUGUGUCCUCACUCACACCCUCCACUGCACCAUCUCCAAUGACCUCAUGAUCACAACAGUUCUCUCCCCUUUGGUCACACUGCCCUACCCCAGCUUUUCCACCCAGCUCUGAGAACAGUCCUGUUGAAAUGUUAAGUCAGAUCAAUUUUAAGUUCUCCUCUGCUCAGACCCUCCAUUGGCUCCCACUGCUCAAAGUAAAAGUUGAAGUCUUUUAUAAUCCUCCAAAGGCCCUACCUGUUCUUUGACCCCACCCCCUGCACCCAGCCUCUCUACCUGCAACUCCUAUCGCUCUUCCCUGUUGACUCCUCUCUUCUCACAGGGACUGCCUUGCUAUUCCUGCAAAAUGCCAGCAAGAUACUAUUUCAGCACCUUUGAACUGGCUUUUACCUUUACUGGGACCUCUCUUUUCCCAUACUUGCAUGGCUUUCCCAUACUUCCCACCUCCUUCCAGUUCUUGUUCCAAAUGUCAUCUCUCAGCAAAGCCAGCCGGGACAACACUGUUUAAAAUCACCUCUUACCACACUCUUGUCCUUCAACCUGGCUCUGUUUUCUCUCUAACACUCUGGAAUUUGAGCUGUUAGAGGAGAUGACGGUGUCAGUUUUGUUCGUGGCUGGACCCCCAGGGUUCUAGAGCAAUUCUUGUUGCACAGUGAGAAAAGUAAACUUGUCUUGGGUUGAACUGAUUAAAACGUGGUUCCAAAUUCAGAUUUACAGAUGUGGUUCACAGCGAAAAAUGUGCCCAGGGUCUAUGCUCCAGUCUCCUUCCAUCCCAAACGAUCAACUUUCCGAUUAUGAAUUAUUUUUACACAAAUAUUAUGUCGCUUACUACACUCCCGUUCUUCCUGGUUAAUAAACGUAGCAGCCUGUACACAGACUUCCUUUUUGGCUCACAGUUCAUUUGGGGCAUCGUGCCUGAUGGUUUCCCCUGUUUUCCACGGCUGCUUUCGGGUGUUUAUUCCGGCCCUGUUCUCCCCGCCAGUGUCCCUCAAUGGAUACCCGCUGCCCUGGAGUCAGUGAAGGGCUAGAACACACCUCCGGCCCUGCCCGACCGGCUUUGCAAGCAUCUGGGCUGUCUUACUAGGCUCGUCGCACACCCACUGUCCAUACUAAUAAGCAGCCAAGGGAAGGUAUAGAAAAGGUUCUAGGAAAGUGGGGAUGUAGCUCAGUGGUAGAGCGCAUGCUUUGCAUGUAUGAGGCCCCGGGUUCGAUCCCCGGCAUCUCCAACGCGGUGUUGCGGUUUCCUUUUUUCCUUCCGUGCCAAGUUUCCAAACGGCGAAUGUUCGCAGAGCCCUAAGGGGAAAUCCCGCAUCUUGGAGUUCGCCCAGAAUGGAAACCUCGGCGGCGGCCGCAGUGGCGGGACCCACCCACUCCAAUCCCCAGAUCCUACCUCAAACCUCCUGAUUAAAAUAUCACAAGGCUUGUUUCUGUGAAGGCUAUCAUGUUUUCUUCAAAACCAUGACAUCACUGCAAAGCCACGACACCAUUGGAAAGGCCUCAAUUAUUUCUUAUUCUGAGAAUUUUCUCCCUUGGACAGAAAGAAUCCAAGUAAAUACAAGAAAUUAAAUUUAGCCUGCUUCUACACACCUGCAGCAUCCCACAGGCUCCAGACCAACGAGCUGACAGUGAGGCUGGGUGAAGGCGGCUGGGUGAGACACCUCUGGAGGGACUGAUGGUCCUUUUGACGGUUCACCACCGCUGAGGAGGACACAGUGGGAGGAAUGCAGGAUAGAUGCCAGGUUCCCUCACCCUCUGUGAAGUGUCUGUGCGUCAGUGGCGUCACCUGGAAACCGGGGACAACAAUGUUACCUACCUCCCGGGGUGGUUAG